UACGUAGGGUGCGAGCGUUGUUCGGAGUUACUGGGCGUAAAGAGUGCGUAGGCGGUUUUCUAAGUUUGGUGUGAAAUCUCCCGGCUUAACUGGGAGGGUGCGCCGAAGACUGGAAGGCUUGAGUAUGGGAGAGGUAAGCGGAAUUCCUGGUGUAGCGGUGAAAUGCGUAGAUAUCAGGAGGAACACCGGUGGCGAAGGCGGGUCUCUGGGCAACAACUGACGCUGAGGAGCGAAAGCGUGGGGAGCGAACAGG
rnacentral:rRNA from 1 species